AGUACGGUGACGGAUGAAGCUUAGAAUAGAAAAUGUGAGCGUGAUCGAACAAGAAGCCGGACCAGAGGAAUUAUUGUGGUGCGUUCCAGUUGAUCUUGUAAGUGGGAAAUUCCCAGUUCCCAGUCAUAAGUGUCAACUGGAACGCCCCCUGAAGUCGUAAUUACAACCCCGGAAACUCGGAUUAAAAAAAGUAGCCAGAGUUUGGAUCCAAUAUGGCUGCUACGUGCGUCGAAAGGGAUGUUUAAGCUGUAACUGUUGAUUUCAUUAGCAGUUUAGUCGUCUUUUUUUGUAAUUAAAUCAAUCAGACCGAUGGAAUCGUGCAAGUUCUCUCUGUGGAGGUGUUUCAUGUCAUUUUCGGUCAGAAACUAUCAUGUAGUGUGUUUUUAUCGUCUGGUAUUAGCGAACAAAACAAAGUUACUCCUUGGACGCGUCCAUGUUGCUUUUCCGACUUGCAACUGGAACACAGUUAUCUCGGGUGUGACGUCAUUCCCACUUCCGAGUUCCGAGGUAAAUGGAACGCAGCAUUAGAGAGGCUUUUACACGUUGGAGAGAGCUUCAAGAAACAGUGGGCUGCAAGUCCAGCACUGGGCUUGUAAUGCUGCGGACUGGUGAGUAAAUAUUUUUUCUUUGCAUCAUCAUUUUAGAGUCGUUUCACCAAAAAAACAUUCAGUCUAUCUCCACAGGUUAGGGUUAGGGUUAGACCAGAAUGUCAGAAUAAUGUUACGGUCCCCUGAUGAUAGAGUUAGCGACGCAUGCUAACGUUAUUUGUUGGAGAUUUUUUGUGCCUUUAUUGUAGAGAUAGGACAGUGGACAGAGUCAGGAAUCAGGGAGAGAGUGGGGAAUGACAUGUGGGAAAGGAUACCACAGGUUGGAUUAGGACCUGGGCCGGCCGCUUGGAGGACUACAGCCUCCGUACAUGGGGCGCGCGCACCAACAACUGCGCCACCAGCGCCCCAUUGUUGGAGAUAUUUGGGCAGAUUAUGACUGAUGCACGGCGAGAAAAGUUGUCGACCCCGUUAGUAGUUGUUUGUAUGCCAAGUCAUCCCAUGUCAGCAGAAGUUUAGCCUGUAGCAUGAUAAUACAGACAUAUUGCAUAUUGUCAAGGUUAAGCUAGCUCUUCUUGCUCCUUAUCUGAGCAGGGCGUAUGCAAACGUUCUCGCAGUUCAAAAGUUUCGCCCUCAUGUUGCUGUUGAAACUAACGUUACUAUACAUACUCUGCACAGUUAUAUCAACCAGCAUAAUGACUUCAAAGUUUAUUCCAGCUUUCUAAAAAGGCGAUCAACCUACAACCCUGCCAGAGUCUUAAAGUCAGACCGCCACAGGAAUGAUGUGUUUGCUGUCCGAGGUGUUCAGCCACUGAAUGAGGAAGAGGAGGAGGCUGAUGUCUUAUAAUAUAGAUCCAGAGCGUGGCAAGUACAAGGAAUAAGGGUCUCAAACAUUCACUCGACAUCUGGCAUGCUGCAAAGUAUUUGGGUAAAAAGCUACCUCAGGUGAGGCUUCUUGUUCUUACUCUCAUAACUGUUCUCUCAUUUGUUUUCUAAAGAUUGUGUUUUUACAUGUUCAAACUUUAUUGUAUAAGGAAGAAAAAGAACAUUUCACAGCAGCACAUGUUCUCAUCUUGUAAUUAGGCGUACACAGUGAAAGACCAAUCGUCAGUCAUGACCUCGAUGAACCACUUCUGGUAUUUCUCUAAACAAGCAACAGCAGAAGAGCAGUUCAAGUAUUGUUGGUAUUUGUGUAGCACCAAACCCAAACUCUUAUUUGUUGGUAUGCUCAUGCUGAAAGGGAAAAAUAAUGUGUUUCAAGGACUUUAUAAUAGGUAUAUAAUGAUUUUUAAAAAUAUAUAUUUUGCAGAUAUUAGAAAUUUUAUUACCUUCAGGUGUGACUACAGUCAUGCUUGUAUUUGUAAUUAUUUUUAUACAAACACGUUCUUUUUUUUAAAUCGACAAUGGCUGCAUCAUUGUUGUUUACGACCAUUGCAAAAUGUAUUUAUAUUGUGACUCUUUAUCGCUCCAGCUGAUUUUCAAGCUGAGGACUCUGCUCACCUUUAUGUUAUUUGGUGCAGUAUGAA